AUGUGUACAAUUCAGAAAGAACCUGUGGUAACUAGCAAAUGGAAGAACAGUACAAAAUUUGUUCAAGAAACCUACAGUAAUUUUUCCUCACAAGAAAAAGGAACAUUUCUCAAGAAUCUAUGUGAGAGCAGAAAUAUUACAACCAAGGAAACUGAAGAAAUGAGGCUGUGUUCCAAUUUAUUUAAUCUUGCAAAAAUUUCCAGAGAAAUGAUGCAGACAAUUAUUUGA
rnacentral:lncRNA from 1 species